rnacentral:rRNA from 1 species
UACAGAAGGGGCAAGCGUUGUUCGGAAUUACUGGGCGUAAAGGGCGCGUAGGCGGCCUGUUAAGUCGGACGUGAAAUCCCUCGGCUCAACCGGGGAACUGCGUCCGAUACUGGCGGGCUUGAAUUCGGGAGAGGGAUGUGGAAUUCCAGGUGUAGCGGUGAAAUGCGUAGAUAUCAGGAGGAACACCAAUGGCGAAGGCAGCUCGCUGGGACGUGACUGACGCUGAGACGCGAAAGCGUGGGGAGCAAACAGG